rnacentral:rRNA from 1 species
UACGUAGGGGGCAAGCGUUGUCCGGAUUUAUUGGGCGUAAAGAGCUCGUAGGUGGUUCGGUAAGUCGGAUGUGAAAUCUCCAGGCUCAACCUGGAGGGGUCAUUCGAUACUGCCGUGACUAGAGUUCGGUAGGGGAGUGUGGAAUUCCUGGUGGAGCGGUGAAAUGCGCAGAUAUCAGGAGGAACACCGAUGGCGAAGGCAGGUCUCUGGGCCUGACCUGACGCUGAGGAGCGAAAGCGUGGGGAGCGAACAGG